AGUGAACGCUGGCGGUAGGCCUAACACAUGCAAGUCGAACGGCAGCACCGUAAGAGCUUGCUCUUACGUGUGGCGCGUGUCGGAACGGUGAGGUAUACAUCGGAUUCUACAUUUUCGUGUGUGCUAACGUAGGGAAACUUCCGCUAAUACCGCAUACGUCCUACUUGUGAAAGCAGGCGAUCUUCGGACCUUUCGCGGAUGAAUCAGCCGAUGUCGGCUUAGCUAGUUGGCGGGGUAAAGGCCCAACCAGGCGACGAUCCGUAGCUGGUCUGAGAGGAUGAUCAGGCACACUGGAACUGAGAAAGGGUACAGACUCCUACGGGAGGAAGCAGUGGGGAAUAGUGGACAAGGGAGGAAAGCCGGAUCCAGCGAAACCGGGUGGGUGAAGAAGGCGUUAGGGUUGUAAAGCCCUGUUGUUGGGAAAGAAAAGCAGCAGGUUAAUAGCCCGCGGUUCUGACGGUACCCAAAGAAUAAGCACCGGCUAACUUCGUG
rnacentral:rRNA from 1 species